GGCUUCGGCCAAUCGCGAGAUGGACAACCGAAAAUAGCUUCAUGGGUCAAUAGAAAGAUUCUCAGUGCCUGUUUCAACAGUAGCCAUGGCUGCAAUUUGCGAUGCAUAGGAAGGAUUUACCCGCAGAUAGACUGCUCGCAGGUUUUUACGAGUCUGCCUCUCGCUUGUUCGUCACUUGUCUGACCUUCGCGCGUCGACUAGAGUGAGAAAGUACAUAAGAAGAGCUCUUCCGUGGUUUUGCAGAUCGUUGUCUCGCUACGAAAGGUACACACACAAGCUCCGGAUCUCGACGAAUGUAGGCGAUGUGGUGUCCGAAUUUGGAGCUCACCUUCCUAGUUCCCUCCAUCUCACACUCCACGCCUGGUAGGGUGCAUUCCAAGUGCCGUCCCUUGGAAGCCGCAGUUUGGCACGAAGCCCUUUCUCCUGCCGCUACUGUUUUGUUAGUCAGGUUUGCAGCGUGUCUCGAUAUAGUGGUGUGCUUCCGUUGCUAUCCUUUCCCUCCAGGUAGGAAUUCUGUGGCAAACUAGUGGUUGGUUCGCUUAUCAAGUUGCAGUCCUUCAUACCUUGAUUUUGAAUUACUGCAGUCACACCCUUCUUGUCGGCAGUUUUUUUUUUUUUUGUGUGUCCUACCGACUGCACUGACUGCAGAAAGUCGAAGCAAUGGAGGUGUCGUUGCAUUUUCCUCAUAGUUUUGCUAGCUUCUACUUCUGGGUUGAUGUUGAACCCACUCCACCCACUUGUAGCGGAAAGAUGUUAGAAUUUCGUGCCAAGCUGUGUGCAACCAAGGGGUUUGUUACUUCAAAUCCACAUCGGAGGAGCGUCCCUACCAGUACACCAUGAAUAUCUUAAGAAUGAAACCCUCUCAGAACGCUCCCCCCGGCAAGUUGGAGAACCCCCGAACCGCAAAAGUGGUAACAAUAAUCUCGAUCCUUGCAACCUUCCGCUGUUUGUUGUUACUGUGCAGUUAUCCACAACCUAGCAUGUGUAACCAAGGGGCCUUGGUUGAAAAAUAAUCUUUUUGUAUUCUCCAUUUCGCUAGUUUGAAUUCCGUGACUUUGCUUUGGGGAUUGAAUCUAACUAAAGAGCAUCAGUUUCCGAGUUUUGCGACGAUCUCAGGUAGUCCCUCGGUCACAGGCUCUUCUUUUCUGGCCCCUCUCCUUGCUCCUCUUGCAAGUUUCUCCAUCUAGAAGAGUCCACAGCUUGCAUCUCCCUCCCAGAGUAGGCAAGUGUGUUUGAGAGAGAUAGAUAGGGAGAAAACAAAAUCAGUUUCAAAUGUGUUGUAGGUGGAGCCACCGAAUUUUUAGAUCCAUUAUGAAGGAUGAGAAUCGUGCGAGAUAACUACUAUCGGAUGUGGAGCUACCCCCUCGGGCCCAGGACGUGGUUCAUCAUGUAUAUGAUGACUGCAGUAAAUCCGACAAAGACACGUUGGUGGUUGUGCAGGCGACUGGACGGUUCUCUCUCAAUUGUUCGCGUAGUAUCUGACUUGGAAAUGUUCAAAAUAAUUAUUGUAUUUACUAGAGCCGAGUAUUGCAUUAAAGUGUGUAACCUCUUACUGAUUUGAAGGUGAAGUUGCAUUGAAAUAUACGCCUCUCGAACAGUGUGCCGCUCUCGAUAGAGCCCAUAGCUUGAGAGUAUCUUUUGCCCAGAUAUUUGCCUUACCAGUAAUGAGGUCUUUGACUAUACUCCACUCAGGGUCCUUCAAAACCGGGCCCAGGGCCACGGUCCUUCAAAACUGGUAUUCAGUUAAGCAGAAGCUCGCCAAGUCAUUAGAGUUGUUCCUCACUCCCCCGAAGAACAGUUGCAUCAUUGGAGAAAAGUUGAACGCAUGUGUGUUCACAUUCAAUCUCGUGUAGUCGUCGUUCUGAACAAUUUUAGUUCUUCAACUGAGUUAAGAAGUUACA